rnacentral:misc_RNA from 1 species
UUUCCGUAGGUGAACCUGCGGAAGGGUCAUUAAUGAGUUGUCAUGGGGUUCGAUGCUGGCAGCCAAUUUUUGGAUGCAUGUGCUUGCCCUAACAAUCAUCUUCCAAACACCUGUGCACAUUUUUGAGGGAGUCUUGAGUUGGUUGCCGCUCUUGGGUGAUUUUCUCACAUUCCCUUAAAUCAUUAUACGCUAUUAACAAUGUUGAACGUGCUCUGUGCCGCAAGGCUAUUAAUAUAAUACAACUUUUAACAACGGAUCUCUUGGCUCUC